ensembl:scaRNA
ACUGGAGGACCAAGAAGGCUGAGUCUGAUGAAGCAGGACUUGGCUGAUACACUCCUCCUAGACAAAUGGGUGAAGAACGCAGCCCUCACUGGAGAAAACCACAGGGUUGACUGUACGACCCAACAUUU